rnacentral:rRNA from 1 species
CACACGACUCUCGGCAACGGAUAUCUCGGCUCUCGCAUCGAUGAAGAACGUAGCGAAAUGCGAUACCUGGUGUGAAUUGCAGAAUCCCGCGAACCAUCGAGUCUUUGAACGCAAGUUGCGCCCGAGGCCUCUUGGCUGAGGGCAUCUCUGCCUGGGCGUCACGC